GUCAUUUCAUUUCCUUAUGUGGAAGUACAAAAUAUGUAUAUUUUUCACUUGACAAAAAGAGAGAGAUUUCAUUUGAAGAAACAGAAUGACUAAAAAGCUUCAACGGGGUUCUACAUGGCUUUAAGCCUAGUUUUAAUAGUUUUGUCACAAAUCAGGGGUAGAGCUUAUCCCGAGGAAACUUUUUAAGUGAUAACUUUGCAAUUCAACCUAAUGAGGUCCCAGGUGGCUGGAAGAAGAAAUUUUCUACCAUUAGCACUAUAUGCAUUAUAACUAGCUUUGCUCAUUUUAUCCACCAACAAAGCUCCAGGAUACCCUGGAUAAGCUCCAGUGCCAAAUAUUCCAGGACAAGCUGUGACAGCCUCCAAUGGUGCCAACGCGUCCCCUUGAAAAUAACCGGUCUUGAAGGGGUUAGUGGUAGCCCCUGCAAGUAGGGUGGCUAUGUUUAUGAUCAUGCCAUCGGUUCCAAUUCCAUUAGGUGCCACCAAGGCUGGGCCUGGAGGACCAUAAGCCGGCAGAGCAUAAGGCCAAGCACAAAGACCAGGGCAUUGGACUGUAGGGUCUCCCACGUGUGCGAAAACCACUCGAGUUGAUCCCCCUACUAAUAUGCUGUCAUGGAAACCGCAUGAUGCCAUGCAGAACCGCUCUACUGUAACAUCUUUAGCAGUCAAAACCAAGUAAAUUCCAUUAGGGUCUAAUGGAAAGAUUUUGCUCUCUAUCUUGCUUUUCAUCAAGUUGGCUAAUUGGGCGCGCUUCAGGGUUUUCCCCGAAGAAUAUACAUCACCAACUUGUUUGACA
rnacentral:lncRNA from 1 species